GGGGACAGUGGUCGUUACGAGGCUGCAGUACAAAGGGACAAUAUUCUCCAGUUAGUUCAUCUGUAGAUCCACGAUUCAAGACCAGAUUACCCUUUGCAAAAAGUAUUCGACCAAGAUCACGAAGUGACCGCUGAAUCAGUUAUUCGUACAACCGUCAAAAGAGUAUCGACGAAACCGAGAAAGAUUACAAUUUAAAUUCUAUCUAAUUAUUGAAACAGGUUGAUCAGUUUCUUCGAUCGAACGCUUUUUGUCGGCGGUAUCAAAAAUCCAAGAUGGCGCCGCGGUAAGUAUUCCAGCUGAAAAGAAUCCUUGACCGCGCGUUUCUCGAACGCGUAAUUGGUUUCUUUUAUUGGCAGAACGAAGCCGUCAUCGCGUGCAUCCAGGUUGCUGAGGUGACCGACAAGGAGGAACAUGGUUAAUGGAAGCGCAGAGGGAAAGGGAGAGAGAGAAAGACGGAGUGCGCGGCAGACAAGAUGGGAAGGAAGAGACGGCGGAGCGGAGAGCUGGCAAGAUAGAGGGGCUCGGUGGGAGGAUGGCGGUCAGAAUUUAUGGCCGCUUUAUCACUUUACCGGCCUUGCCGCGUCUCCGUGAGGAGGGCAGGAUCUCACGAUGAACUUUGGCACUCGACUCCGCUGCACUCGACGAACGGUGACGGAGUCGGGAACAGUUACAGCGUUGAAAAUGAUAUUGUCAUCGUCCGGAUAGAAUCGGUGAUCAACAUUGAGAUACAGACGCAAGAUUUAUUGUGAAUUGGAACCAACUUUGGCACACCGAAGCGAAUGAAAUGGAUGAAACUUAGAUUAACAGAUGGACACCUUUCGUCUUUCGAAAGAGACACUCGAGAUAAUAGAAGACGGACUACUUUAAACAUGGCCAGCCUAAAUCUCUCGGAAGUGAUACAUUCUGUCACAUUUUGUAUAGAUUAUGGGGUGUAACGUAAACGUGACAGGUGACACAUGAGUCACUCUACUCUCAGACAUCUACCAGACAUCUACUACCACGUUAUAUUUCCGUGCCAUUUACUAAGAAAGACUGUCCCGCAACUAAACUCGAAGAAUCCCAAGCAGAUUUUAAUUUACAACAAACUCAAGCAAACUCACGCCCCCCUCUCAUACAAUACUCCAGUCUGGACUCGAAGAUCAAUCCUCGAAACGGACAUCGAAGUGCCAUUUGUACCUGGACCUUCAACUCUCCAAAUAAACUCAACGAACACUUAACGAAAUAGUCUAAAAACCAAAUCCAACCACUACUACGCAUCAAACUCCAGAAUACAAUCGAAUUACCAUUUGUACCCAGCUGGGCCAUCGGUUCUUCCAAGGAAUCCGAUAAUUAUUUAUCAAAACAACUCCGACGACUUCAUACCAGCCGAAUAACCCGGAAGGACUGAUUAGAAACAGCCUACGACGAAUACCGAUCGCAACCGAUCCCGCGCACCAUCGGAAACGCAGCGAGGGCCGCUCGUCGAUCGCGGUACCAUUUCAAAA